rnacentral:tRNA from 1 species
GCGGCCUUCCACGGGAUUCGGCGGUCCCGGCUUUCUCCCGGGCAGGACGUCUGCAUUAUGGGCGCGGGUCCCAUAGGCCUCU